AACGCACGAGACCUGCGGACCUGCGGAAGGAUCAUUAGUGAACGCCCUCGCGGGCUUAUAACUAUUCCAAACCUCUGUGAACCGUGCCCUUCGGGGCUAUUUUACAAACAUGGUGUAAUGAACGUCAUAUAUCAUAACAAAACAAAACUUUUAACAACGGAUCUCU
rnacentral:misc_RNA from 1 species